GAGCAUAUGAUGAGAAAAAUUUGGAAUUGAAACUGAUUGGUUAAAAAGCCAUGAAGCUUCCAAAAUUCGAGCUUUUUAAAACUGAUGCUCA